rnacentral:tRNA from 1 species
CGGGCUGUAGCGCAGUUGGUUAGCGUACACGUCUGGGGGGCGUGGGGUCGGCGGUUCAAAUCCGCCCAGCCCGA